AGCAAACCGCCGAUGGCCCACGCAAGUGGGAUCAGGUAAGGGUGAAAGGGUGCGGUAAGAGCGCACCGCGCGGCUGGUAACAGUCCGUGGCACGGUAAACUCCACCCGGAGCAAGGCCAAAUAGGGGUUCAUAAGGUACGGCCCGUACUGAACCCGGGUAGGCUGCUUGAGCCAGUGAGCGAUUGCUGGCCUAGAUGAAUGACUGUCCACGACAGAACCCGGCUUAUCGGUCAGUUUCACUU
rnacentral:RNase_P_RNA from 1 species